UAUGGCAUUCUCAAAAAUGGAAAAAAAUGGGCUAUGAAUGCAAUUGAUUCUACUUUUAGAGGGAACAAUUGCAGGUUUAAGGAAUAACAGUAUUAUGCCUACCCCUAUGAUGAAAUUUGAAUGGCAAAGAGGCCUAAAACUAUUCCAGAACCUGUAUUUGCGGAUUUGCUUCAGUAUUGGAACUCCAAAGAAGCUAAGGAUAAGUCUGAUGCUAACAAACAGAAUCGAAAAAUGUGGAAGUAUCCUCACACUGUUGGCAAAACAAGUUUUGCUCUAAUCCGUGAGGAAAAAAAGAAGGAAAAUUCUGGUGAGGUGUCAAACAAGAAAUUCUUUGUGGAUACUAGAAGAAGGAAAUCUGGAUAAGUGUACAAGGAUUCAUCUGAAGAUAUUACAAAUCAAAUAGUUGAAAUGGAGAGAGUAGAAACUCAAGAAAGUAAAGAUGGUAGUCAAUCAGUUGAUGCAUUCACAACAAUUAUGGGUCCUGAUCAUCCAGGUCGAGUAAUACUAUACAGACGCGGGGUAACCAAGUCUCUUCUGAAAUAAAAAGCAAGUGAUUCUUGACCCUCUUUAAAUAUUGCUGCGGAUGAAUUGGUGGAAAAGAGAAUGGAUGAACUGGAAGAGAGGAUACAACAAAGAAUGCAGGCCCAAAGAGAUUCCAUUGAACGAGAUGUUAAAAUGAACAUCAUUGCACAAUUGCAACGUCAAAAUCCAGGAUUAGCACUUGAUCCUAAUAUGCUAAGAUUCAAUGCUCAUUCGUCAAGGGAAUAGGCUGCUAUUCAACGAAUCAAUCGUCCAAUUACUGGGAGUAACAAUGGAGAUGUCCAAAAUGAAGAAGGAGAUAAAGAAAGUGAUGAAGAAAUUGACCUUACUUGAGAAAAUUUUUGAAUUAUUGAUAGAUAUUUUAGGAUCGAUUUUUUUGAUAUUGAAUUUUGUGAAACUUAUCGCCACUCGAACUUGAUACUUUAUG